CCUUUAUAUUUUUUAUUUAAUUUGGUUUGGUAAAUAAUUAAUCGCAAUACUCUUCAGUCCAAGUAUGGGUAACACCACAAUUAUCUUUAUUUACUUCAGAACAACUUUUCCACCAGAGAUCCUGCUCCGAUGUUUAAGUGUAGCACCUUUUCUGAAAAGAAAUCGGUUGUGGGAGGUACUUUGAGGAGGUUAUUUUUUGAUUUUCUCAAGAUUUUUUUUCAGCAAAUAUGAACAACUGGGAAAACUGGUACAUUAAAUAAAUAUAGGUAUUAUUAAAGAAAACAUAUUAUGCCUAUUCUAUUAUUUUACCAUAAUAUUACAUACCUAUAAAUUGUUGACAAAGCAUCAGUAUGAACUGUACUCCGCCUCAGAAUCGUUUUUAUUGUUGCUUACAGAUAUACAUUAAAUUACCUAUAACAGUGGUUGCACCCCUCCCCAUUAUCCUAGUCCGUCUUUUUAUCAUUUAUUUUUUCAUUAAUAUUGGUAGCCGCGAUCCACAAAAAAAUUAGCCACAGGCCACGUGUUUGAAAUGCCUGAUCUACAGUAAACUGUUCGGUAUAACUUUGAUUUGUGAAUGAUUGUAUUUGAUUUAUGAUUUUUCAUCAAUGUAGUAAAUUUUUCUCCAUUCAUAUUUUGAUUGUAUAAUUUGUACAUACAGAUGUGUUUAGUUAAUAUAAAGUUAUAGUGAUAAAUAAAAUUUAAAAACCAAACAGACAUACUUUGUAUGAUUUAUGGGUCACUGUUUUAGGUGAGAAGUUAAGAAAGUAGGAGGGGAAAUUUAAUAUAUAUCUGUAUACAAUGAUUACACAUUGUUAACAAAAAACGAAAAAUGAUACAUUUCCUAGGUUUUUCCUAUUUAUUAUGAAAACUCAUGGGAAAAUCAAAAAAUGACUCCUUUAAGAGUAGGGGAUACCAUCUCAGCCAAAUUUCCUUUCAGAAAAGGUGCUACAGUUGCAAAUUAGACCAACAUUUCUGGUAGAAAAGUUGUUCAACAAAAAAAAAUAAACACCAUUGUAAAACUAAUACUUUACUUGCUCCGUUCAGAAUCUAAAAAUUGCAUUGUU